GAAUAGGUGAACAGAUAUUGAUCAACACAACCAAAGCCACGGCAUAUUGAAGUUAUCCGGUGAAAUUUCUUGCAGAUGACAGCCAUGGCCUCCGCCGUUCCAAUGGGUGUGUUGGGCACUUUGCCUUCUCCCUCACAGGGGCGAUAUUGCUUACCCUCGUUGAAGUCUACAAAAACUCAACUGAUAUGUAGUUCUACGAGUUUGGUACCAAUUUCAUUGCAAGUUCGAUCUAUGAACUCCCCUGUAAGAACACUGACAUGGGGAUCUCGACGCUCGAGUUUUCCUAUCUUGAGAGAAGCGUUUCCCGUGAAGAACAGAAGACUCGUCUGUGCAAACACCGCGGCAAAAGACGUAGAGCUGCAAGCAGAAGUAUCAACUAAGUGCUUUUUCGAUGUAGAAAUUGGAGGUGAACCAGCAGGUAGAAUCGUGAUAGGACUUUUUGCAGAUGUUGUUCCAAGAACUGUUGAGAAUUUCCGAGCCUUGUGCACAGGAGAGAAGGGAUAUGGGUAUAAAGGAUGUUCCUUCCAUAGGGUGAUAAAAGAUUUUAUGAUUCAAGGAGGGGACUUCACUAAUGGAGAUGGAACUGGAGGUAUUAGUAUCUAUGGUCCCAGUUUUCGAGACGAGAAUUUUUCAUUGAAGCAUGUAGGGCCUGGUGUACUUAGCAUGGCCAAUGCCGGACCUAAUACUAAUGGAAGCCAAUUCUUCAUCUGCACUGUUUCGACUCCUUGGUUGGACAAUCGCCAUGUUGUGUUUGGACACGUUAUCGAAGGAAUGGAUGUUGUGCGAAAAAUUGAAUCACAAGAAACAAGCAGAUUAGAUAUUCCUCGCUUGCCAUGCAGAAUUGUUAAUUGCGGAGAACUAAAGGCUGACGGAUGAUGAUUGAUUAGCCCUGUUGUAACUGUAGCUAUUAAGUUUUUUGAGGCUUAGCGUGGUCGACACGUGAGACUCAGUGCUGUUAUCUAUGAGUAUCGAGAAAUGUAUUAUGAUUGCAGCAAUACCAUAGUUAAAACUGUAAGCUAUUAGUAGAUUGAGAACUGCUACAGCAUAUUCAUAGGUAACAGAGAAACAAAUGAAGUACAAAUUCGUCUAAAUAGCCACCCAUGUGGGCGUGAGGUACAGUUCUUUGGUAUGAAUUAGUUCCACAUUAAGUAACAAAGCUUGCAGAACAGAAUGGUUU